CGGCGAUCAGGCAGCCCGCGGGCCAAAACAGAUCACUAACAUUCUAAAUCAGGGGUCGGCGAUCAGGCAGCCCGCGGGCCAAAACAGAUCACUAACAUUCUAAAUCAGGGGUCGGCGAUCAGGCAGCCGCGGACCAAAACCGACCUGCAAAUGAUUUUGUUUGGCCCCCCAAAAGGUUUAUAUAUUUAGGAAAUCUGUUCCCAAGUCUUCCCACCAAAUGCCUCAAUGUAAUCAAGUCAUGAAAUUAUUUCUAUUUUCAAGUGCAAUCUUAUUUUGGGCUUAGUUUUGUUCAAUUUGGUGUACAAAUUAUUAUGAUUAGCUUCCGGCCCGCGGACUAUCCUAAAUCUAGUGGCCUACCGCUGUUCUAAAUAAACCCAAUGGUAUUUCUAUAUGAUAAGCCAUCCAUGGAACAUGAGUCACUGUGCAGUCUGUUACAUGAUCCUACUGUGGUAUGAAAGGCUGUUGUUUGUACAGAGAGUUCCCUGAUGUGCCAUUCCAGGUUCUGGGCCACCAUUUCCCACCAUGCCCAUUUCUCUCUCUCUAUGGGGUGGUGCUGAAGCCUUAUUAACGGCAGAUCAUAGUAUAUACACCCAUUAACUUAAAGGGCAUACAGAACAACACCGAAGCAAAACAAACAAAGUAAGGCCCCUGUCACUCACUGUAGAAUGAGAAAUUCCCCCCUAAAGAAAAGGGAAAUCAGUUUGUACUAUAUGUAUGUAGCGGUCCGACUGAACUGGGGCAACCAGCUAUUUCAGUAUGGGAAAGUGGGACAAGGGCAUGUAACUAGAGUGAAGGCAAUGGAGAGAUGGAGGGAUGGAGAGAUUGGGGGAUGGAGAGAUUGAGGGAUGGAGAGAUGGAGGGAUGAAGAGCUGGAGGGAUGGACAGAUGGAGGGAUGGAGGGAUGAAUAGCUGGAGGGAUGGACAGAUGGAGAGAUGGAGAGAUUGAGGGAUGGAGAGAUGGAGGGAUGGAGAGAUGGAGGGAUGAAGAGCUGGAGGGAUGGACAGAUGGAGA
ensembl:lncRNA